AUGAUGGCGAUGCGGGUCUGCUUCGCGUCUGGCGAAUGGAGAACCAGGAGGGCGCACAAAGAGAGAGUGGUAUAUAAGAUCAACAGUGGGUCCUCCUCCACGGGUAAAGCAAAAAAAGUGAGCAACACACUUUCUGCAGCCAGAGAAGGUUUUCCAUUAUUGUGGGAACCUGACAGAGAGAUGGAGGGAUGUUGCAAUUCUAACAAGUAUUACAGGACUUGGGGUGAAAAAUAAUAAAAGAAAAUCCUUGUUCCAAGUAAGAAAUAUCUUGUGAAUAGUAGGAGUUUGUAUAAAUAAAGCUUUAUAUUUACUUAACAUAAUAAAUGUAUAAUAAUUAUAUAUAGUGUUGGGGAGGAACUAGUUACAUGUAACGGAAUUAUGUAAUUUAAUUACAAAAUAAAUGUAACUAAUUAGUUACAGUUAUUGAGAAAAAUGUGUAAUUAAAUAAGAUAUUUUUGAAAAUGUUAAUGAUUACAAAAGGGGUUACAUCUGAAGUUUUACACACACACACACACACACACACACACACACACACAUACAUACAGAUUUAAUUGACUUCUUUCAUAAAUUGCAGUGACUGCUCUAAUAUAUGAGACAUCAAUGUUUCCAGAGUUUAGGACAGAGAACAGGACAUAUGCUUAUUCGAUAACUGUUUUAUUUCCUGUUUGGGUUUAUAUUAUAGAUGCAUAUGUUAGGCUCUAUUUUUUAAGAGUAUUUGUUUUUUCCAAGGCUUUGUCAGAUGCCAAAGCUUCCUGUCAUAACUAUGUAAACAUUUCAUUUCAAAACCAGCAUCAUUGCUAUUAAACUAUUUCUUGUUUAACCUCAGAAUGAUCUCAAAGUAAAUAUGAGAUUUUAAAUCUGAUUUUGUGGUGGCUGUGCUUUAAAUUAAAUUAAAUGUAGAAUGCUUGAUUCUGAUUAGUCAGUCUAGACAUUCCAAGGUAUGUUAUUCCCCAAUUACAACUGGUAAAAGCUAAUAACACAGACUCAUCUGGGUAACUUAAGUCGACGCUAUACGCUUGCUAGGAACAGUUUUUCUUGGUGGAAGCUUUACGUUUAGUUAGCUAAUUAAAUAUGAAAACUCACUUCAAUAUUAUGUAUACAAUUUCUUAAUUCUGUCAUCGUGGUAUCUUGGACUCGCUGCCAUUUUACUUUGUACACUGUAUGGAUUAUAAGAUAACUAACAAACUAGUACUGUAAAUACUAGUACUUAAUUAUUUAUGUGGUGAAAUGUUGUGUAAUAAAAGUGGUAUGAUUGUACCGUAUCCCUUAAAUGUCUGUAUAGUUUGAACUUGCCGCUUGUUAGCAACUGCUUUCUUCAUGGAAGCUUUGCAUUCAAAUCUUUCAACUCAGAUCAAUUUUUCAGUCAGUGUCUAAUUAUUUACUUUAGUGGCAAGCAGCCGUGUAAUAAUGAUGAUAAUGUACAUCCAGCCAGUUGUUAUCGCAAAAUAAAGAUGUACAUUAUCCCUUACUUAUAAUCUUAAUUCAAGUGAUUUUGAAAGGAUUUUGAAAGUCUGGCAGUAAUCAGUGUUAAGUGCUCCUGUAAUGUUACCUUGCCUGGUUUAAAUGUUUCAAAAUGAUUAACAGUUGAAAAUAUUAGAAAUGUAAAAAAUUAAUCAAAAAGUAAUCAAAUGUUAUGUUGCAUUACUUUAAUAAAGUAAUUGAAAAGUUAAACUACUUAUUACAUUUUAAAUAGGGUAAUUUAUAAUCUGCAACCUAUUACAUUUCCAAAGUAACUUUUCCAACAUCAUAUCACUCAUUUCUCAUCUCACAAACACCUGCAAGACAAAAGCAGCCUGUCCAACUCUCUACUCUGUUU
rnacentral:lncRNA from 12 species